AUUGAACGCUGGCGGCAUGCUUUACACAUGCAAGUCGAACGGUAACAGGUUAAGCUGACGAGUGGCGAACGGGUGAGUAAUGCAUCGGAACGUGCCCGAUCGUGGGGGAUAACGCAGCGAAAGCUGCGCUAAUACCGCAUACGAUCUGAGGAUGAAAGCGGGGGACCGUAAGGCCUCGCGCGAUCGGAGCGGCCGAUGUCAGAUUAGGUAGUUGGUGGGGUAAAGGCUCACCAAGCCACCGAUCUGUAGCUGGUCUGAGAGGACGACCAGCCACACUGGGACUGAGACACGGCCCAGACUCCUACGGGAGGCAGCAGUGGGGAAUUUUGGACAAUGGGCGAAAGCCUGAUCCAGCAAUGCCGCGUGCAGGAAGAAGGCCUUCGGGUUGUAAACUGCUUUUGUACGGAGCGAAAAGGCUCUCUCUAAUACAGGGGGCUCAUGACGGUACCGUAAGAAUAAGCACCGGCUAACUACGUGCCAGCAGCCGCCGUAAAAC
rnacentral:rRNA from 1 species